rnacentral:rRNA from 1 species
GCACAAGCGGUGGAUGAUGUGGAUUAAUUCGAUGCAUCGCGAAAAACCUUACCUACCCUUGACAUGUCCGGAAUUCCGGAGAGAUUCGGGGGUGCUCGCAAGAGAACCGGAACACAGGUGCUGCAUGGCUGUCGUCAGCUCGUGUCGUGAGAUGUUGGGUUAAGUCCCGCAACGAGCGCAACCCUUGUCAUUAGUUGCCAUCAUUCAGUUGGGCACUCUAACGAGACUGCCGGUGACAAACCGGAGGAAGGUGGGGAUGACGUCAAGUCCUCAUGGCCCUUAUGGGUAGGGCUUCACACGUCAUACAAUGGUCGGUACAGAGGGUCGCCAACCCGCGAGGGGGAGCCAAUCCCACAAAGCCGAUCGUAGUCCGGAUUGGAGUCUGCAACUCGACUCCAUGAAGUCGGAACCGCUAGUAAUCGUGGAUCAGCAUGUCACGGUGAAUACGUUCCCGGGUCUUGUACACACCG